CUGGAGGUAUCAGAAGUGCGAAUGCUGACAUAAGUAACGAUAAAGCGGGUGAAAAGCCCGCUCGCCGGAAGACCAAGGGUUCCUGUCCAACGUUAAUCGGGGCAGGGUGAGUCGACCCCUAAGGCGAGGCCGAAAGGCGUAGUCGAUGGGAAACAGGUUAAUAUUCCUGUACUUGGUGUUACUGCGAAGGGGGGACGGAGAAGGCUAUGUUGGCCGGGCGACGGUUGUCCCGGUUUAAGCGUGUAGGCUGGUUUUCCAGGCAAAUCCGGAAAAUCAAGGCUGAGGCGUGAUGACGAGGCACUACGGUGCUGAAGCAACAAAUGCCCUGCUUCCAGGAAAAGCCUCUAAGCAUCAGGUAACAUCAAAUCGUACCCCAAACCGACACAGGUGGUCAGGUAGAGAAUACCAAGGCGCUUGAGAGAACUCGGGUGAAGGAACUAGGCAAAAUGGUGCCGUAACUUCGGGAGAAGGCACGCUGAUAUGUAGGUGAAGCGACUUGCUCGUGGAGCUGAAAUCAGUCGAAGAUACCAGCUGGCUGCAACUGUUUAUUAAAAACACAGCACUGUGCAAACACGAAAGUGGACGUAUACGGUGUGACGCCUGCCCGGUGCCGGAAGGUUAAUUGAUGGGGUCAGCGCAAGCGAAGCUCUUGAUCGAAGCCCCGGUAAACGGCGGCCGUAACUAUAACGGUCCUAAGGUAGCGAAAUUCCUUGUCGGGUAAGUUCCGACCUGCACGAAUGGCGUAAUGAUGGCCAGGCUGUCUCCACCCGAGACUCAGUGAAAUUGAACUCGCUGUGAAGAUGCAGUGUACCCGCGGCAAGACGGAAAGACCCCGUGAACCUUUACUAUAGCUUGACACUGAACAUUGAGCCUUGAUGUGUAGGAUAGGUGGGAGGCUUUGAAGUGUGGACGCCAGUCUGCAUGGAGCCGACCUUGAAAUACCACCCUUUAAUGUUUGAUGUUCUAACGUGGACCCGUGAUCCGGGUUGCGGACAGUGUCUGGUGGGUAGUUUGACUGGGGCGGUCUCCUCCUAAAGAGUAACGGAGGAGCACGAAGGUUGGCUAAUCCUGGUCGGACAUCAGGAGGUUAGUGCAAUGGCAUAAGCCAGCUUGACUGCGAGCGUGACGGCGCGAGCAGGUGCGAAAGCAGGUCAUAGUGAUCCGGUGGUUCUGAAUGGAAGGGCCAUCGCUCAACGGAUAAAAGGUACUCCGGGGAUAACAGGCUGAUACCGCCCAAGAGUUCAUAUCGACGGCGGUGUUUGGCACCUCGAUGUCGGCUCAUCACAUCCUGGGGCUGAAGUAGGUCCCAAGGGUAUGGCUGUUCGCCAUUUAAAGUGGUACGCGAGCUGGGUUUAGAACGUCGUGAGACAGUUCGGUCCCUAUCUGCCGUGGGCGCUGGAGAACUGAGGGGGGCUGCUCCUAGUACGAGAGGACCGGAGUGGACGCAUCACUGGUGUUCGGGUUGUCAUGCCAAUGGCACUGCCCGGUAGCUAAAUGCGGAAGAGAUAAGUGCUGAAAGCAUCUAAGCACGAAACUUGCC
rnacentral:rRNA from 1 species